rnacentral:lncRNA from 1 species
GUGAGCUGGAUGCUUGUCUCCUGAGGCACAAUAAGGAAGAUUUUGUUCAAGGUUCUGAGUGUACUCUGAAGUUGACCAAGGUCAUCAGCUGUGUUUUAGAAGGGAUACUCAUGGAUGGGACCUUUUGGGGCCUUUAAUAAUAUUUACUUAUUGAAUGUGUAUGAAUGGUUUUCCUGCAUGUGUGUAUGUGCACCAUGUGUGUGGAUGGUGUCCACAGAAGUCAGAGGACUGUAUUGGGUCCCUUGAAACGACUAUUAUUGAAGAUGGCAGUGAGCCACAUUGUGUGUACUAGGAACUGAACUCAAGUCCUCUGCAUGAGAAACAUCCUAAAUGUUGAGCCAUCUUUCCAAACACACUGACCUCUCAGAAGGACAUUCCUGGCUUAAUUGUGAGGCUUCCACAUCAGGACAUAAUUUAAGAUCCCAGGUUGCUUUUGUAAAAUAGAGAGGUUGCAUUAGAAGCUCUUUUGUAUGGUUCAUAAGAUAAUGAGUCUAGGGUACACUUGUAGGCAACAUUCUUUACCAUCUGAUGACAACAGAAUCUAUCCAUGAACUUUUCUACCUGCAACUCUAUAUCAACUGGUGUUUCUUCUGCUUCCCGUCUUAAUUUUUAAUAUGCUUUAUUGCAUUUAACUGUAUGUGUGUUAGAUCUAGUAGAAUAGAAAAUGGGAAAUAGUCUUGAAUGCAUGGAUACAGGAGACAGUUUCCUGAACGGAAUACCAAUAGCUCAGGCUCUGAGAUCAACAAUUGAUACAUGGGACCUCAAGAAUCUCAUAUGCUUCUUUAAGGCAAAGGACAUUGUCAAUAGCAACCUACAGAUUGGGAAAAAAUCUUCAUCAACCCUACAUUCCAACGGAGGGCUGAUAUCUAAAAUAUAUAAAGAACUCAAGAAGCUAGACUGACAAAAACAACCUAAUUAAAAACUAGAGUGCAGAGAUAAACAGAGAAGUCUCAACAGAGGCAUCUCCAAUGGCCAAGAAACACUUAAAGAAAUGUUAAACCUCAAGAUUUCACCAUACAACCAUCAGAAUGGCUAAGAUAAAAUAUUUAAGCAACAGCUUAUGCUGGUGUGGAUGUGGAGCACAGGGACUGCACUUCCACUGCUGGUGGGAGUACAAACAUGUACAACCACUCUGGAAAUCAAUGUGAUGGUUUCUCAGAAAAUUGGAAAUAGUUCUACCUGAAGACCCAGAUAUAGUGUUUCUGGGCAUAUACCCAAAAGAUGCUCCACUAUAUCACAGGCACACAUGCUCUACUGUGUUCAUAGGAGCAUUGUUCAUAAUAGCCAGAAACUAAAACCAACCCAGAUAUCCUUCAACCAAGGAAUAGAUACAGAAAA